rnacentral:rRNA from 1 species
CGUAGUUGAAUUUCGGGGUUAGUAGGUUGGUCAUGCCUCUGGUAUGCACUGGCCUCACUGAUUCCUCUUCCUGAUGAGCCGUAAUGCCAUUAAGUUGGUGUUGCGGGGAAACAGGACUGUUACUUUGAAAAAAUUAGAGUGUUUAAAGCAAGCUAACGCUUGAAUACAUUAGCAUGGAAUAAUGAAAUAGGACGUUUGAUUCUAUUUUGUUGGUUUCUAGGAUGACGUAAUGAUUAAUAGGGAUAUUGGGGGCAUUAGUAUUCAAUUGUCAGAGGUGAAAUUCUUGGAUUUAUUGAAGACUAACUACUGCGAAAGCAUUUGCCAAGGAUGUUUUCAUUAAUCAAGAACGAAAGUUAGGGGGAUCGAAGACGAUCAGAUACCGUCGUAGUCUUAACCAUAAACUAUGCCGACUAGGGAUCGGAUGAUGUUAAUUUUAUAAUGACUCAUUCGGCGCCUUACG